GGAUCCUCUGGGCUGAACGCCGCAUGUGAUGUCCCUAUGAAAGGAGAUCGUAGGAUCCCCUGGGACGAAUGCUGCAUGUGAUGUCCCUAUGAAAAGAGAUUGCAGGAUCCUCUGGGCUGGACGCUGCAUGUGAUGUCCCUGUAAAAGGAGGUGGACACGAGAAUUAUUCCUUUUCCCCGGUCUCGACCGAAACAUCCACGAGCUCUACUUACCCGGAUAUCCCCCCUCAUUCCGGGACGGGUGACAGACUAUCCUGGCUCUUGCCGGCCCCGUACAGGCACGAACUGCCGACGACUCCACGCCUCCCCGGCGUCCGAGGUCUGGCUUCGUUCUGGUCGGGAGACACGGAAGGAACACUGAACUUUUAAAUUGCUUUUAACCAAAUAAAACCUUGUUCAAUUUUUUU